AGCUGACAUGGAUGCUCUCCCUAUGCAGGAAUUGGUAGAUUCAGAGUACAAAAGCAAGAUCAAUGGCAAAAUGCAUGCCUGCGGCCAUGACGCUCAUGUCACCAUGUUGCUUGGAGCGGCUAGAUUGCUUCAAAAUAGAAGGGACAAGUUGAAGGGCACGGUUAAGCUAGUCUUCCAGCCUGCGGAAGAAGGCUAUGCUGGAGCCUCGUAUAUGAUAGAAGAAGGAGCAUUAGAUGGGGUUAAAGCAAUAUUUGGUAUGCAUGUCUGGCCAUUUACGCCCACUGGUAUUAUUGGUUCAAGACCUGGUCCUAUUAUGGCUGGUGCAGGAAGGUUUACAGCAAUAAUACAAGGGAAAGGUGGACAUGCAGCAACACCACAUAGAACUAAGGAUCCUAUUCUUGCUGUUUCUAUGACAGUUCUUGCACUCCAGCAACUUGUUUCUCGAGAAACUGACCCUCUCGAGUCUAGGGUUGUCUCUGUUGCAUUUGUAGAUGGUGGUGAGGCUGGAAAUGUAAUCCCUGAAGGUGUGAAGUUUGGUGGAACAUUCCGGUUCUUGACGUUUGAGGGUCAUUCCUAUCUUAAGCAAAGGAUCAAAGAGAUCAUCGAGACACAAGCAAGUGUACAUCAGUGUUCAGCCACAGUUGAUUUUGCGGAGGACUUAAUGAGGCCAUAUCCACCUACUGUAAACGACCCCACGAUGUACAAGCAUGCUAAGGAAGUUGGAGAAGUCAUGCUCGGUGAGGAAAACGUGCAGUAUGGCGCAAUUACAAUGGGUGCAGAGGACUUUAGUUUCUAUUCCCAGAAGAUACCUGCUGCAUUUGUUAUCAUCGGAGCACAAAAUAAAACGGCCAUCGCUACUGGUGUUAAAGGUUUACACUCCCCUUACUUCACACUUGAUGAAGAUGUUCUUCCAAUAGGUGCAGCUCUCCAUGCUGCUGUUGCCAUUUCUUAUCUUGAUACACAUGUUUAGACACAGUAGAAUUAUACAUUUUUGGAGAUUGAAGA
rnacentral:misc_RNA from 1 species